GGAAAAGCAUGAGUGGGGUGAUGUGCCUUAAAGCAUCAGACACUUGGGCCUCGGGCAUCAGGAGCCAGCCACAGGGAUGUCUGGGGAAAUGGCGUUCCAUGAGAUGCAAGCACACAAGAAUGCACUUGGCACAUCUGGGGAACAGCAGGCAGCUGAUAUCACUGGGCCCACCCCGCACCAGGGAGGAUGGAAGCAGGUGAGGAGCUAGACCACACUGAGGCGGUGGUCGGGACUCAGAGUUUGCUCAGUGAGCCGUUCACUAGGUGCAGGGGCAGUUCCCCGUCUGAAUUUAGGUGACGACACUCAGGUCCAGCCUUGCCAGUCUCAGCCUCCGGUCUCCGUUCCCCCUCUGCAGAGGUCACUUUGUCUGCUGCACGUGAUCAUGAGGGGUUGUGAAGUGCUUGCCCCAUCAGUAGCCAUGUGUGCAUGUGUAAAUACCAUCCUCUGUGUGCCCUGGAGGCUGUCCUUCAGAUAGCAUGUACAGGUGGCAGCAUAGGGCCUGUCCCUAGUGAGAGUGCAGGGAACUCAGCACCGUCAACUCCUCGACCCUGCAGGUCAGAUUAUCCUUGUAGAGGCCCCCUGGAUGGCACCAAGAUCGGCCCUGGCAAGCAGGUGACCCUGACUUCAGAGCCCUUGCCUGAGGGCCUGGCCUGGCAGCUCUGCUGUUAGAAGCAGGAGGUGUGCAGGGGGUGGGGAGCAGCCCAGCCUCUGUGAUCUUCUCCAUGGCAGGAUCUCCCAGCAGGUAGAGCAGAGCCGGAGCCAGGUGCAGGCCAUUGGAGAGAAGGUCUCCUUGGCCCAGGCCAAGAUUGAGAAGAUCAAGGGCAGCAAGAAGGCCAUCAAGGUGUUCUCCAGUGCCAAGUACCCUGCUCCAGAGCGCCUGCAGGAAUAUGGCUCCAUCUUCACCGACGCCCAGGACCCUGGCCUGCAGAGACGCCCCCGCCACAGGAUCCAGAGCAAGCAGCGCCCCCUGGACGAGCGGGCCCUGCAAGAGAAGCUGAAGGACUUUCCUGUGUGCGUGAGCACCAAGCCAGAGCCCGAGGACGAUGCAGAAGAGGGACUUGGGGGUCUUCCCAGCAACAUCAGCUCUGUCAGCUCCUUGCUGCUCUUCAACACCACCGAGAACCUGUAUGGCCAGAAGGCAGGGCCGAGGGGUGUGGGCGGUAGGCCCGGCCUGGCUUAGUGGGGACCCAGGGCAUCAGACACAGGUACAGCACAUAGCCCAGGAGCCAGGGGGUGACUGGGGUGGCUCGGCUCGGGAGGCCUGGGACCCCACAGUGCACACUGUGCCCCUGAUGAUGUGGGAGAGGAACAUGGGCUCAGGACAGCGGGUGUCAGCUUGCCUGACCCCCAUGUCGCCUCUGUAGGUACAAGAAGUAUGUCUUCCUGGACCCCCUGGCUGGUGCUGUAACAAAGACCCAUGUGAUGCUGGGGGCAGAGACAGAGGAGAAGCUGUUUGAUGCCCCCUUGUCCAUCAGCAAGAGAGAGCAGCUGGAACAGCAGGUCCCAGAGAACUACUUCUAUGUGCCAGACCUGGGCCAGGUGCCUGAGAUUGAUGUUCCAUCCUACCUGCCUGACCUGCCCGGCAUUGCCAACGACCUCAUGUACAUUGCCGACCUGGGCCCCGGCAUUGCCCCCUCUGCCCCUGGCACCAUUCCAGAACUGCCCACCUUCCACACUGAGGUAGCCGAGCCUCUCAAGACCUACAAGAUGGGGUACUAACACCACCCCCACCGCCCCCACCACCACCCCCAGCUCCUGAGGUGCUGGCCAGUGCACCCCCACUCCCACCCUCAACCGCGGCCCCUGUAGGCCAAGGCGCCAGGCAGGACGACAGCAGCAGCAGCGCAUCUCCUUCAGUCCAGGGAGCUCCCAGAGAAGUGGUCGACCCCUCCGGUGGCUGGGCCACUCUGCUAGAGUCCAUCCGCCAAGCUGGGGGCAUCGGCAAGGCCAAGCUGCGCAGCAUGAAGGAGCGAAAGCUGGAGAAGCAGCAGCAGAAGGAGCAGGAGCAAGUGAGAGCCACGAGCCAAGGUGGGCACUUGAUGUCGGAUCUCUUCAACAAGCUGGUCAUGAGGCGCAAGGGCAUCUCUGGGAAAGGACCUGGGGCUGGUGACGGGCCCGGAGGAGCCUUUGCCCGCGUGUCAGACUCCAUCCCUCCUCUGCCGCCACCGCAGCAGCCACAGGCAGAGGACGAGGACGACUGGGAAUCGUAGGGGGCUCCAUGACACCUUCCCCCCCAGACCCAGACUUGGCCGUUGCUCUGACAUGGACACAGCCAGGACAAGCUGCUCAGACCUGCUUCCCUGGGAGGGGGUGACGGAACCAGCACUGUGUGGAGACCAGCUUCAAGGAGCGGAAGGCUGGCUUGAGGCCACACAGCUGGGGCGGGGACUUCUGUCUGCCUGUGCUCCAUGGGGGGACGGCUCCACCCAGCCUGCGCCACUGUGUUCUUCUCUUAAGAGGCUUCCAGAGAAAACGGCACACCAAUCAAUAAAGAACUGAGCAGAAA
rnacentral:lncRNA from 1 species